rnacentral:rRNA from 1 species
GAUGAACGCUAGCGGCAGGCUUAACACAUGCAAGUCGAGGGGUAGAGGAAGCUUGCUUCCUUGAGACCGGCGCACGGGUGCGUAACGCGUAUGCAACCUACCUUUUACAGAGGGAUAGCCCAGAGAAAUUUGGAUUAAUACCUCAUGGUAUAUAUCAUUCGCAUGUUUGAUAUAUUAAAGUUCCAACGGUAAAAGAUGGGCAUGCGUCCUAUUAGCUAGAUGGUAAGGUAACGGCUUACCAUGGCAACGAUAGGUAGGGGUCCUGAGAGGGAGAUCCCCCACACUGGUACUGAGACACGGACCAGACUCCUACGGGAGGCAGCAGUGAGGAAUAUUGGACAAUGGGCGCAAGCUUGAUCCAGCCAUGCCGCGUGCAGGAAGAAGCAUCUAUGGUGUGUGAACUGCUUUUGUACGGGAAGAAACACUCCUUCGUGAAGGAGCUUGACGGUACCGUAAGAAUAAGGAUCGGCUAACUCCGUGCCAGCAGCCGCCGUAAUAC